rnacentral:rRNA from 1 species
GACACGGCCCAGACUCCUACGGGAGGCAGCAGUAGGGAAUUUUCGGCAAUGGGGGCAACCCUGACCGAGCAACGCCGCGUGAGUGAUGAAGGUCUUCGGAUUGUAAAGCUCUGUUGUAAGGGAAGAACGGCAUCUAGAGAAUAGGUGAGUGACGGUACCUUACCAGAAAGCUACGGCUAACUACGUGCCAGCAGCCGCGGUAAUACGUAGGUAGCGAGCGUUAUCCGGAAUUAUUGGGCGUAAAGGGUGCGUAGGCGGCCUGUUAAGUUUAUGGUGAAAGCGUGGGGCUCAACCCCAUAAAGCCAUAGAUACUGGCAGGCUAGAGUACUGGAGAGGGUAGUGGAAUUCCAUGUGUAGCGGUAAAAUGCGUAGAUAUAUGGAGGAACACCGGUGGCGAAGGCGGCUACCUAGACAGAGACUGACGCUGAGGCACGAAAGCGUGGGGAGCAAAUAGGAUUAGAUACCCUAGUAGUCCACGCUGUAAACGAUGAAUGCUAGGUAUCGGGGCGACCCGGUGCCGAAACUAACGCGAUAAGCAUUCCGCCUGUGGAGUAUGCACGCAAGUGUGAAACAUAAAGGAAUUGACGGGGGCCCGCACAAGCGGUGGAGUAUGUGGUUUAAUUCGACGCAACGCGAAGAACCUUACCAGGCCUUGACAUCCCUUGCAAAAUCCUGGAGACAGGACAGAGGUUAUCAAGGAGACAGGUGGUGCAUGGUUGUCGUCAGCUCGUGUCGUGAGAUGUUGGGUUAAGUCCCGCAACGAGCGCAACCCUUGUCUUUAGUUACUAACAUCAAGUUGAGGACUCUAGAGAGACUGCCGGUGAUAAACCGGAGGAAGGUGGGGAUGACGUCAAAUCAUCAUGCCCCUUAUGGCCUGGGCUACACACGUACUACAAUGGCUAUUACAACGUGCAGCGACAGCGCAAGCUGAAGCGAAUCACUGAAAGAUAGUCUCAGUUCGGAUUGAGGUCUGCAACCCGACCUCAUGAAGUUGGAAUCGCUAGUAAUCGCGGAUCAGCAUGCCGCGGUGAAUACGUU